rnacentral:rRNA from 1 species
GGGUUGUGAGGUUAAGCGACUAAGCGUACACGGUGGAUGCCCUGGCAGUCAGAGGCGAUGAAGGACGUGCUAAUCUGCGAUAAGCGUCGGUAAGGUGAUAUGAACCGUUAUAACCGGCGAUUUCCGAAUGGGGAAACCCAGUGUGUUUCGACACACUAUCAUUAACUGAAUCCAUAGGUUAAUGAGGCGAACCGGGGGAACUGAAACAUCUAAGUACCCCGAGGAAAAGAAAUCAACCGAGAUUCCCCCAGUAGCGGCGAGCGAACGGGGAGCAGCCCAGAGCCUGAAUCAGUGUGUGUGUUAGUGGAAGCGUCUGGAAAGGCGCGCGAUACAGGGUGACAGCCCCGUACACAAAAAUGCACAUGCUGUGAGCUCGAUGAGUAGGGCGGGACACGUGGUAUCCUGUCUGAAUAUGGGGGGACCAUCCUCCAAGGCUAAAUACUCCUGACUGACCGAUAGUGAACCAGUACCGUGAGGGAAAGGCGAAAAGAACCCCGGCGAGGGGAGUGAAAAAGAACCUGAAACCGUGUACGUACAAGCAGUGGGAGCACGCUUAGGCGUGUGACUGCGUACCUUUUGUAUAAUGGGUCAGCGACUUAUAUUCUGUAGCAAGGUUAACCGAAUAGGGGAGCCGAAGGGAAACCGAGUCUUAACUGGGCGUUAAGUUGCAGGGUAUAGACCCGAAACCCGGUGAUCUAGCCAUGGGCAGGUUGAAGGUUGGGUAACACUAACUGGAGGACCGAACCGACUAAUGUUGAAAAAUUAGCGGAUGACUUGUGGCUGGGGGUGAAAGGCCAAUCAAACCGGGAGAUAGCUGGUUCUCCCCGAAAGCUAUUUAGGUAGCGCCUCGUGAAUUCAUCUCCGGGGGUAGAGCACUGUUUCGGCAAGGGGGUCAUCCCGACUUACCAACCCGAUGCAAACUGCGAAUACCGGAGAAUGUUAUCACGGGAGACACACGGCGGGUGCUAACGUCCGUCGUGAAGAGGGAAACAACCCAGACCGCCAGCUAAGGUCCCAAAGUCAUGGUUAAGUGGGAAACGAUGUGGGAAGGCCCAGACAGCCAGGAUGUUGGCUUAGAAGCAGCCAUCAUUUAAAGAAAGCGUAAUAGCUCACUGGUCGAGUCGGCCUGCGCGGAAGAUGUAACGGGGCUAAACCAUGCACCGAAGCUGCGGCAGCGACACUAUGUGUUGUUGGGUAGGGGAGCGUUCUGUAAGCCUGUGAAGGUGUGCUGUGAGGCAUGCUGGAGGUAUCAGAAGUGCGAAUGCUGACAUAAGUAACGAUAAAGCGGGUGAAAAGCCCGCUCGCCGGAAGACCAAGGGUUCCUGUCCAACGUUAAUCGGGGCAGGGUGAGUCGACCCCUAAGGCGAGGCCGAAAGGCGUAGUCGAUGGGAAACAGGUUAAUAUUCCUGUACUUGGUGUUACUGCGAAGGGGGGACGGAGAAGGCUAUGUUGGCCGGGCGACGGUUGUCCCGGUUUAAGCGUGUAGGCUGGUUUUCCAGGCAAAUCCGGAAAAUCAAGGCUGAGGCGUGAUGACGAGGCACUACGGUGCUGAAGCAACAAAUGCCCUGCUUCCAGGAAAAGCCUCUAAGCAUCAGGUAACAUCAAAUCGUACCCCAAACCGACACAGGUGGUCAGGUAGAGAAUACCAAGGCGCUUGAGAGAACUCGGGUGAAGGAACUAGGCAAAAUGGUGCCGUAACUUCGGGAGAAGGCACGCUGAUAUGUAGGUGAAGUCCCUCGCGGAUGGAGCUGAAAUCAGUCGAAGAUACCAGCUGGCUGCAACUGUUUAUUAAAAACACAGCACUGUGCAAACACGAAAGUGGACGUAUACGGUGUGACGCCUGCCCGGUGCCGGAAGGUUAAUUGAUGGGGUUAGCCGCAAGGCGAAGCUCUUGAUCGAAGCCCCGGUAAACGGCGGCCGUAACUAUAACGGUCCUAAGGUAGCGAAAUUCCUUGUCGGGUAAGUUCCGACCUGCACGAAUGGCGUAAUGAUGGCCAGGCUGUCUCCACCCGAGACUCAGUGAAAUUGAACUCGCUGUGAAGAUGCAGUGUACCCGCGGCAAGACGGAAAGACCCCGUGAACCUUUACUAUAGCUUGACACUGAACAUUGAGCCUUGAUGUGUAGGAUAGGUGGGAGGCUUUGAAGUGUGGACGCCAGUCUGCAUGGAGCCGACCUUGAAAUACCACCCUUUAAUGUUUGAUGUUCUAACGUUGACCCGUAAUCCGGGUUGCGGACAGUGUCUGGUGGGUAGUUUGACUGGGGCGGUCUCCUCCUAAAGAGUAACGGAGGAGCACGAAGGUUGGCUAAUCCUGGUCGGACAUCAGGAGGUUAGUGCAAUGGCAUAAGCCAGCUUGACUGCGAGCGUGACGGCGCGAGCAGGUGCGAAAGCAGGUCAUAGUGAUCCGGUGGUUCUGAAUGGAAGGGCCAUCGCUCAACGGAUAAAAGGUACUCCGGGGAUAACAGGCUGAUACCGCCCAAGAGUUCAUAUCGACGGCGGUGUUUGGCACCUCGAUGUCGGCUCAUCACAUCCUGGGGCUGAAGUAGGUCCCAAGGGUAUGGCUGUUCGCCAUUUAAAGUGGUACGCGAGCUGGGUUUAGAACGUCGUGAGACAGUUCGGUCCCUAUCUGCCGUGGGCGCUGGAGAACUGAGGGGGGCUGCUCCUAGUACGAGAGGACCGGAGUGGACGCAUCACUGGUGUUCGGGUUGUCAUGCCAAUGGCACUGCCCGGUAGCUAAAUGCGGAAGAGAUAAGUGCUGAAAGCAUCUAAGCACGAAACUUGCCCCGAGAUGAGUUCUCCCUGACUCC